GUCUAUGGCCAUGCUACCCUGAACAAGCCCUAUCUCACCUGACCUUGGAAGAUAAGCAGGGUCGGACCUGGUUAGUACUUGGAUGGGAGACCACAUAGGAAGACAGGUGUGCCGUAGGCG
ensembl:rRNA 5S_rRNA 5S ribosomal RNA